CAGCUUUUGCCCUGAAGAAGCACAGACAGAGAUUUCCAAAGUUAAAUAAGGUGGAAAAUGAAUUGGCUUCAUAGCUUCCUUUUCUUCUAGUCUAACAACAGCUUUCCCCUCCUGGCUCCCCACCCUCUGUUCCUGCAGGUACUUAUUGCCUUAUGCUUAAGACAAUGACGAGGUGAACUUUGAAGUUCAAGGACCGAGCAGUCCUGAGGACAGGACGUCUGGAGGCCCAGGAGCCACAUACACUGUGUUCUCAUAACGGCUGGGCCUGCCUUCAUUCCUGAGAACCUAUCCCUGAGGGCAGAUCCUGCGUGGACUGAGGAGCUUCAUGGGACCACGGAUGGUUUCUGUCACAGUCACAUCAACCCCCACAAGGAAAAGCUGAUGUCCGAGUUGAAUCCUAACUGGUCCAGACGUUCUCCCAUCGUACCUGUCUGUGCUCUUGAAGUCCAACAUUGCCAAGCGGAAGCCUCGGGAUCUUCCCUGGAGUUGAGAAGAUGAGGAUGAGCAGCCCCACUUUGGGAGCAGCAAGUGCUGGCCUGGGUGUGAACAGACGUUGACCCGAGUCAUGGAAGUUACUGUCCUUCUACCUGACUGCUGCCUAUUGUUCCUUGAGCCCCAGGCAGAAGUGACCGCCUCUGAGCAGAGGUCAGUGGUAGUGAUGGUGCUCCUUGACAGCCGAGCCCCUGCCUUGUUCAGUGGAUGACCUUGGCUGCCUCCUGAGGACCCGCAGUCCUGGGAACAUCAGAAUGCCAGCUCCAAUAGCAAGUUUAAGGGAGGGACGCAAAGCUCCUUUUUCUAGUUCUCUGCAGAGCAAACUCCUGGUGAAAACCAUCCUAAAUGUGAAGAGGGGAACUGUAGCUAGUGUAGUCAGAAGCUUUCAGUGAAGAGUUCAAGACACAUAACUCAAAUUGGCUUAAGCAUAGAGAUGGAAUUACUGGCUAAGCAGCUCCAAAUCUGAAUGGCUUCAGAAUCUCUCUCCACUCAGCUCUGCUUUCUCUGGCAGCUCUUCCUAUUGUGACAAGGUCAUCAUUAACAGCUCCGGGACUGCUUUCUAUUAGCUUUAUGACCAGAGGAAAAAGAGAGCACCCCUUUCCUACCCAAUCCAGCAAGAAUUCUAAGACUGAGUCUAUCAUUCUGAUUGAGUCGUCUGCCCAUCCCUGAACCCAACUUUGUGACAGUCAUCUGCUUGG
rnacentral:lncRNA from 1 species